UGCAGUCGAGCGCACUCUUCGGAGUGAGCGGCGGACGGGUUAGUAACGCGUGGGAACAUACCCUUUUCUACGGAAUAGCCUCGGGAAACUGAGAGUAAUACCGUAUACGCCCUUCGGGGGAAAGAUUUAUCGGUGAAGGAUUGGCCCGCGUUUGAUUAGAUAGUUGGUGGGGUAAUGGCCUACCAAGUCUACGAUCAAUAGCUGGUUUGAGAGGAUGACCAGCAACACUGGGACUGAGACACGGCCCAGACUCCUACGGGAGGCAGCAGUGGGGAAUCUUAGACAAUGGGCGCAAGCCUGAUCUAGCCAUGCCGCGUGAGUGACGAAGGCCUUAGGGUCGUAAAGCUCUUUCGCCAGAGAUGAUAAUGACAGUAUCUGGUAAAGAAACCCCGGCUAACUCCGUGCCAGCAGCCGCGGUAAUACGGAGGGGGUUAGCGUUGUUCGGAAUUACUGGGCGUAAAGCGUACGUAGGCGGAUUGGAAAGUAGAGGGUGAAAUCCCAGGGCUCAACCCUGGAACUGCCUUCUAAACUAUCAGUCUAGAGUUCGAGAGAGGUGAGUGGAAUUCCAAGUGUAGAGGUGAAAUUCGUAGAUAUUUGGAGGAACACCAGUGGCGAAGGCGGCUCACUGGCUCGAUACUGACGCUGAGGUACGAAAGUGUGGGGAGCAAACAGGAUUAGAUACCCUGGUAGUCCACACCGUAAACGAUGAAUGCCAGACGUCGGGGGGCUUGCCCUUCGGUGUCACACCUAACGGAUUAAGCAUUCCGCCUGGGGAGUACGUGCAGUCGAGUGCAGUCGAGUGCAGUCGAGUGCAGUCGAGUGCAGUCGAGCAGU
rnacentral:rRNA from 1 species